GGUGUAGGCGGAGCGGUAAGUACCUUGUGAAAGCCCCGGGCUCAACCCGGGAAUUGCUUGGUAUACUGUCGCUCUUGAGGCAGAUAGGGGUCACUGGAACCUUAGGUGGAGCGGUGAAAUGCGUAGAUAUCUAAGGGAACGCCUGUGGCGAAAGCGGGUGACUGGAUCUGUUCUGACGCUGAGACCCGAAAGCGUAGGGAGCGAACG
rnacentral:rRNA from 1 species